GACGUAGGGCGCGAGCGUUGUCCGGAUUUAUUGGGCGUAAAGAGCUCGUAGGCGGCUUGUCGCGUCGUCCGUGAAAACUCGGGGCUCAACCCCGAGUUUGCGGUCGAUACGGGCAGGCUCGAGUUCGGUAGGGGAGACUGGAAUUCCUGGUGUAGCGGUGAAAUGCGCAGAUAUCAGGAGGAACACCGGUGGCGAAAGCGGCUCUCUGGAACGGUACUGACGCUGAGACGCGAAAGCGUGGGGAGCGAACAGG
rnacentral:rRNA from 1 species